AUUGAACGCUGGCGGCAGGCUUAACACAUGCAAGUCGAGCGGUAACAGGAGAAGCUUGCUUCUCGCUGACGAGCGGCGGACGGGUGAGUAAUACUUAGGAAUCCACCUAGUAGUGGGGGAUAGCUCGGGGAAACUCGAAUUAAUACCGCAUACGACCUACGGGAGAAAGGGGGCAGUUUACUGCUCUCGCUAUUAGAUGAGCCUAAGUCGGAUUAGCUAGUUGGUGGGGUAAAGGCCUACCAAGGCGACGAUCUGUAGCUGGUCUGAGAGGAUGAUCAGCCACACCGGGACUGAGACACGGCCCGGACUCCUACGGGAGGCAGCAGUGGGGAAUAUUGGACAAUGGGGGCAACCCUGAUCCAGCCAUGCCGCGUGUGUGAAGAAGGCCUUUUGGUUGUAAAGCACUUUAAGCAGUGAAGAAGACUCUAUGGUUAAUACCCAUAGACGAUGACAUUAGCUGCAGAAUAAGCACCGGCUAACUCUGUGCCAGCCGCCGCAGUAA
rnacentral:rRNA from 1 species